AUACGUAGGGGGCGAGCGUUGUCCGGAAUGAUUGGGCGUAAAGGGCGCGUAGGCGGCCUGUUAAGUCUGGAGUGAAAGUCCUGUUUUCAAGAUGGGAAUUGCUUUGGAUACUGAUGGGCUUGAGUGCAGGAGAGGUUAUCGGAAUUCCCGGUGUAGCGGUGAAAUGCGUAGAGAUCGGGAGGAACACCGGUGGCGAAGGCGGGUAACGGGACUGUAACUGACGUGGAGGCUCGAAAGCGUGGGGAGCAAACAGGAUUAGAUCCCCGGGUAGUCCACGCCGUAAACGAUGAAUACUAGGUGUCGGGUUUCUAUAGAGAUUCGGUGCCGCAGCAAACGCAAUAAGUAUUCCACCUGGGGAGUACGUUCGCAAGAAUGAAACUCAAAGGAAUUGGCGGG
rnacentral:rRNA from 1 species